GGGGACUCUCUCUUGCCAUCUACUGGUGGGAGGUCAGAGAUCCUAAGCUGGGAAACUGAGGCUGAGAGAAUCUCCCAAAAGUUCUUGCGGUUUUUCCUCAGUCCUUCUUCUUCUUCUGUGUGCUGAGUGGUUGGAUCUUGGAUUGGACUUCAGCCUGCAAGUACACAUCACCCAGCCAUGAAAAGACUACAGAGCUCAGAAUCAGAGUCAUACUUUAGAAAGGUAGACCCCACCGCUCCCUGAAGCAUGGCUCCAAGAGCAGACAACUGCAUCACCAAAGCUGACCCCAGCACCGGUGACAACUCACAAAAGCUGGGAAUCAGGAGUACAUUGUACAGGAAUACAGACUGCAGACAGCUCAACAGAUUGGAGAGAGUUCUUUCCAGGAGCCUGCAGAAUCCAGAAGAGUGCGUUAGAUCUCUUGGAGCUGGAAUUACAGGUGAUUGUAAGCUGCCUAGUGUAGGUAAGGUGCUGG